CGCCUGUUUAACAAAAACAUUUCUUUUAGGUUUUUUUAAAAGUACUUUCUGCCCUAUGGUUAUUCUAAAUGGCUGCAGUAUUUUGACUGUGCAAAGGUAGCAUAAUAAUUAGUUUUUUAAUUGAAGGCUGGUAUGAAUGGGAAUUUGAGAUAUAUAUUUUAUUUAAUUUAAUUAUUAAAAUUUAAAUUUUAAGUUAAAAUGCUUAAUUUAAUUCUUGGGACGAUAAGACCCUAUAGAACUUUAAAUUAUUUCCUUUUAAUAAUUUUUUAUAGUAAUAUUUUAUUAAUUUUAAAUUUAAUUCGCUGGGGUAGUGGGUAAAUUAAAACUUUAUUUUUAAUCAUCAUUAUUUAAUGUUUUUAUAUAUUUAUUUUAAUAAAUAAAGAAUAAGUUACCCUAGGGAUAACAGCGUAAUUACAGUGGAAAGUUCAUAUUUAUAUUGUUUUUUGCGACCUCGAUGUUGAAUUAAGGUAAAUCUUUAGGGGCAGUUCCUCUUAAUUUAAGUCUGUUCGACUUUUAAAUCCUUACUUGAUCUGAGUUCAGACCGG
rnacentral:rRNA from 1 species